AGCUGCAGUCCGCAAGGUUCAGGGAACCAUGAGGACUCCCUGCUGAGGGGCUGACCUGCCAAGUAUCCCUCCCACCGCCCAUGCUGGCAGUACCUGAGGGCCUUUAGCCGGAUCGCUGGUGAUUCUGAACUUGCUGAGCAGGAAAACUCGAAAGCUUUUUUUCCAAUUCAACAGCUGCUUCAGGCCUGCCAACAGCUCAGCAGCUUGAACAGAAAUCCUUGUCUGACAUCUUUGCUGCCCAGAAACCAUUCUAUUUCUCCGUAUUCUGUCCUCAGAGUUCAUAGGCCAUGUCCCAGGACCAGGCCGAGUCCAUGGUGAAGACACUGGAAAGUCUUUUUGAUGAAGCGGAACGGCUGAAGAACUUCUGCCGGCGCCAAAACGAAGAAGUCAAGCUGGUGAUGGAAGAGCUGCAGCGGGAGAAUCAGGAGUUGGUUCAAAAUUAUGCGCAGGCCGAACAGGAAAUGGAGGCCGUGCGCAAGGUCCUGAAUGAGUUGGUGGACACCAAGAUUGCCUUUGAGGCGCGUGAGAGACAAGUCCGUAAGCUCAGCAAACAGCUGUGAGACCCACCUCGGGAAUUUCUUGUCUUCUGAGUCAGAGUCACCAUUUUCUCCUACAGCUAGAAAUCUCCACUUGGAUUGCUUGUUCAGUCUAUCACCCGUCAUCAUGACAAUAUGAAAGCCUCUCUAUGCACUCAGCUGUUUCUAGUGCCCUCACAGAUGUUUGCUCCCUCCUCUGUGGGGCCUCGUACCAUAACCCCGCUGGAAGCCAUCUUGUGACCACCUGACAUUCACUCCUGUGGUCCUUCUUGUCUCCCUCAGGAACUGCCGACUGAUAAAAAUCCUCCCCAGUUUCAUCACUGCCUGUUUAGCAGUCACUGAGACUCGCUUCUAUUUUACACUCUGAUUGUUUUCUGUGGAAUGUAUUAACGCCAAUCUUUUUUGUGUUCACAGAGGACGGUACCCAGUCAACUUUGCAGUCAUUAUCCCAUGUAGGCUCUUGUGGCGUUCAUAAUUGCGUUAGAUGUAGCCUGGUCUUCAAUCCCAUUAGUUUCCUCAGCAACUCGAGCUUGGAGCCUACUUCGAGUAUUUAUUACCUGUAGUGUGGUCAUACAGGGCUGGCUCAGUGGCCUGUUCUGAUGAUUCAAUUUCCUUGGUAACUGGUGAUUACUUGUACAGGUUCUUAGCCAUUUUGGAUGGUCUCAGAAGCCUGACAUUGGGGUCACACUGUUUUUUUCCGUGCGGCUAGUGUCGUGGAUGCUAUUGGUAUAGUUCUGCCUUGAUGGUGAGAUUAUAGGGGGAUCUUGACUUGGAUUCCACAAAGGAUUGCUGCAGACUGAAGGGAAGGGAUAUUUCCUCAACUCAACUCUCCCACACAGGGCUGCCAACCUCCAGGUGGCGUCUGGAGACUUCCUGAUCUCCAGACGACAGAGAUCUCUGGAGAAAAUGGAUGCUUUGAAGGAUGGGCUGUGUGACCGUAUUCCUUUCUCUUUCCCAAGUCUUCCCCUCCCCAAAUUCCACUCUUAAAUAUCCAGGAAUUUUCCAAGCUAAUGUUGGCAGCCCUGUACUGUAGACCUCUAAUUCCUUCCAAGAUUUUCUUGGGUGUCCACUUUCACCCAAGGGCAGCAUUUUUGAGAACAUUUUAAGCUGUAGCAGAUGAAAAGCUGCAGUCCAUGUAUGGAAAAAUUUUCCUGUCAUCCAUGGAAAUCCAAGCUCUCGACUUAGUUCGUGUCCAAGUCUUCAUCCACCAUGGGCUUAUCCAGCCGUCGCUGAUCCCUUUCUGCUGAGCUAAUUUGUCCAGCUUUAAUGGAAUGUAAGUUUGCAGCCGAUCCCAGCCAUCCAGCCAGGCCAAUUAAUAAAUCUUGUCUUGUUCUUAUAAAGUGACGACUGUCAUCUCUGAGUAAUGAACAGUCACUGCUUUGUCAGAACAACAGGAGUUUGAUUAAUUACUCAGAAAACCCACUCUCUGUGACCUUGUCCGUAAUUGUCAUCCAAGUCCUCCUGCUUCUAGAACUUUCCUACCCUUGCAAUUCGGUCCUCUCAUCCCCCUGCUAAGGCCCCCAACUUAUGGAAUGGCCUGCCAGAGGAGGCCCGGAAGACUCCCACUCUCCUAACUUUCCACAAACGAUGCAACUGAAUCCAGUGGCAUAUCAGGUCUAAAUGGCGCCCGGAGAGUAAAAACCCUCUGGGCGGCCCCCGCAGAGCCCUGCUUACUCGUGAAUAAGCGUG